rnacentral:tRNA from 1 species
GGCAACGUAGCUCAGUUGGUUAGAGCACAGCACUCAUAAUGCUGGGGUCGGUGGUUCGAAUCCACCCGUUGCUA